GGGUGAUCAAGCGUCGAAACCGAAGGCGAUUAAAUGGACCCCAAUCGAAGAAGAAGCCUUAGCCAAGGCUUUCAUUGGCACUUCCGACAACCCGGUAAAAGGUAAUAACCAACCGGGUGACGGGUUUUGGUCCAAGGUAUUGACCAAGUUUCUCGCCAUGAUGGACCAAGGCCCGUAUAGAGAUAUCGACUCGGUUUCCUCGAAGUGGCGAAAAUUGAACUCGGCCAUUAAUCGGUUUUGCGAGGAGUAUAACAAAUUAUAUACAAGUGACCGUCGUAGCGGGUGGAACGACGAGGAUGUGUUCAAAAUGGCAUUGGAAAAGUAUAAGCAAAAUCAUGGUUCCAACUUUCCUCACGUUCGCGCGUGGAUGGUUGUAAAA